UAGUCCCACUCCUAGAGAUGACGUUUUCUGGGUGUGCACAGGAACCCUGUGUUCUUUACCUGCAGCAAAAUGAACAGAAGAAACGAAAAAUCACCUACUGGGAAAAUCCUCAUAAACUGACUGUGUGCAUUGGUCCUCUGGAAAGAAGAGAGCUGAGCCCGUGUUUUAGUGAACUGAAGAAGGACUGAAACAUCAGCUCCAGAAGGAGAGUCUGUCCCCCAGGCACUGUUAUUGCUCAGGAAUAAUGUGACACAGCAGGUCCCUGACACGGGCAGCAAGGUGAGCUCUGGUUCAUCUGGUGCAAUGGCAGUGCCCUCUUUUGCAAUGGGCUUUGAGAUCUGCUGAAGGAAGAAGGACUAGAAAAUCAAGGUGUCUCUGGCCCAAGGCACCGAAAGGCGGCUUUU